CGAGCACAAACACACUGGAGAGACUGGACACUCAGGCAAUCACUGCCCUGAGAUGCUUGAGGACGUAACUACUGGAGUAACCCUGUUGUUGAAGUAAUUACUGACCUUCUGCCGGUCAAGAGAGACAACCCAGGACGCCCCGUCAUCCCGAUCUCCAUUGGCAUGGUGGACUUCCUAGAAGCACUCUGCGACUUUGGCUCCAACGGCACCCAUCAUCCUAGGGAGGCCAUUCCUGAACAUCUCAGGAGCUGUCAUCUACGCUAGUACUGCCAAGAUUGGUUUCUACAUCAAGGGGAGGAAGGAGACGUUUUCCUUCAAGAACAAGACUGCACAAACCUCAGAGCAAUCCCAAUAUGAACCAAGGAAGAGGACCAACAGGAGGAACAAGAACAAGCAAGUGUAGACCGAGUCAGCUAAGAUGGUCACUGCAGUUCAAGGAGGUCAAGAUCGUCGACUUAAGUCACCGUUCCUGACCAAAAAGGACGACCCAGUCACCUAUCAGCUCCUAUUCGGAACCAUGCCUCUAAAACCGACAUACAUUUAGCUCCAGAUGGCAGAUCAGACAUUCCGAAAGGUUGAAGUUAUUGACAUAGGAGAAGACGAGUACGAUUCACCCAUCAUCCUUAAGAGACUGUUCCUCAGCACCGUUAAAGCAAUCAUCAACAUUGGAACCGGAGAAGUCCACAUGCACUUUACCUCUAACAAGGUACGCCGAUAUUUUACUGACCUUAAUUAUAUAGUUGAAGACUCUAAGCAGGUCAGGACAAGAAGAAGACCACGCAACCGCAACCAGAGGAGGCAAAUCAUCAAGGACGGAUGGGUAGACUAUGAAGAAGAAGUUGUAAGGUCUGAAGACAUACAACUUGAAUAGAACUGUCCUGAGGAGACCGUAGCACCGAGUCAGAUGUGUAGAGAGAAGAUAGUUAUACACGAAGAGGAGGCGCCGCCGGAAUCACCGACUACGCCACCCAACGAAUCCCAGGACAACAGAAAAAACGGAGAGUCUCAUUCGGAGGACUUAAAAACACCGAACGCCUUGCCAAGAGGUAAACUUGGUAGUUAUCUUUUUCCUUUCAACUAUCUAAAAUAGUUUGCUUAGUUAAUCAGGUUCAUAUCAUCUUGAAAAGAAAAUGAAAAUGUUAAAAAUAGUAAGCCCCAUGUGAGUAUGCUCAUGGCAUAAAACCCAUAAGUACAUCCACUGUGGUGGCGUAAAAAUGAAAUAAGUAUAUUCCUGUCCUAUAAAAAAUAAAAUUAUAAAAAUAAAUUUAUGAUCCUACUAAAGAGAGUAAUAUUUAUUGAGGAGGCUCAACAUGAUAAAGGCUAGAUAUUUAUGCUAACACUUAACUAGUUCCACAAAGCUUUGUUGUCUAUUUGAGCUCCACAGAAUUCAAGGAUCAAAGAAGACUAGCAGACGGAGGACAUCCUAAUCGCUGUCAGGGUGCUGCCGACAUUCAAAUACACCUCCACCACCUGCUAGCUACAUCAGAAGGAAUUAUGUCAAAAUCCAGCUUGGGGGAGAGCAACCCCAUUUAUCCAGCUAAGUAUUCUACGCACGUUUAUACUUUACUCUAAUAUGCUUAUAUAUAUAUAUAUCUUUGCUUAGUUGGCUAAAUAGAUAAAUAAAUAAAGUUUGCUAUGAACCCUCAUGAUAAGCUCUCACAUGGAAAUGAUGAAUAGUUGCUCUGCCAUGACUAGUUCUCAAAAUUGAAAUCUCACUCAAGUUUAGGCAUGACUGUUAUUAGUUAAGCUUUGCUCUAAACCUGAACUUGUGGGAAGAGUACUUGAUCUAAAGUCUAAGUCGUUAACGGAUAUGAUAUGGGAAGGUUGAGCUGCUGUUUAUCUGUUCCUAGAGAUGCUAGAAUUCUGGAGAAUUUUAUCUUUGAAAAUCUUUAAAAAUGUUGCAUGAUGAGUUCUUGUAUGAUGAGAGUUAAAAUUCCUACCAUAGCCAUAUAUACAUGCUUGUUAGACUAUGAACCAUUACUGCUUAUGAGCAUUGAGUAUGGUCAAGCUGUGUAGACCCUUAGGAGCUUGUCAUGUGGUUAAAUCAAAAUUCACUUGCACGUUCACUCACACAUGCUACUUCUACUUCAGAAGUACCAUCCACAUAUAUCCAUCCAUUUCCAUCUCCAGAACCACCCAAAAAUAUUCUACUCCUAAUCUGGGAGAGAAUAGCCAAAAACAUUCUCCUAUUUCUGUUUUUCCCUGUGAAAAAAAUGCUCAAGUUAUCUUGGUUACUACCACUUGCUAUAUUAUUUCAGGAGAUAAGUGCUCUAAAAAAAUAAAGAAAAAAAGAAAGAAUGCGAGGAAAUAAAAAGGGGCAAGUGCCCGGAACCUCGAAAGAAAGAAAAAGUGAGAUGAGAGGUAAAAAUGGACAAGUGUCCGACAGUAGAAUUAGGGGUACAAGAUACCCACCUGAGAGGAAAAAAAGAAAAUAUAGAGCAUCUCAUUCUCCUCAAAAAGUUUCAAAGUGCAAGAAAGGUAUGUAUCCCCUCAAAAGAGCACAAGUAGAAUUAGACUUUCACCAUUAUUAUCACCAUCAUUACCAUACACCAUUCAUUCGGCACACAUGCACAUCUUGAUUUGACUUAUUGACUUGUUCUUCUGGAUCCAUGGUUUGACUAUGCAAUAAAUGUCUUGUAAGUAUGUAUUAGCUGUCUCCCACCUAUGAGCUCCAGAUAUCAAAACUUAUUAGAGUAGGGUGAGAGAGAAGGCAAUACCACUAUGCCUCAUACCAAAAAUACCACAUACUUUGAGAGAAGGCAUACACCAUUACUGCGUUGGUAAGGAUCCAGAAAUACCACAAAAGAGAGACUAGAGAGAGUCAUACAAGGAAUCUCUGAGUUUUAGUUGAAAAUCUGCAAAAACUCUAGAGCUAUAGUUAAUCGAAGAACAAGAGACAUGGUGCUUGACUAGACUGUUCUAUCUUUUAACUACUCAAGACAGAAGUGACGGUUACAAGUCCCAUGGUGAAAGGUAAAUGAGUAAGUUUUAAGUCUUAACAGUUUACUCUAACCAGUGAUGAGAUCUUGUUUAAACGCAUGUGUAUCUUUAAGUUAUGAAACCACUGCAGAAACUCUUGAGUUCAUCUUUGCUCAGGGACGAGCAAAGGUUAAGCUUGGAGGAGCUUGUUGACGGUCCUUAAUGCUCAUAUUUAACCAUCAACUAAUCAUAGAAAAGGAUUCAAAUGCAACCAACACCUAGACUUAGGGUUUUAUCUGACAGAAUUCCACAAGUUUUGGUAUUUGUCUAUUUCUGCAGGGGGUUAUCAGGAAAUAUGGAGGAAAGGCCCACACGUCGGGUUUACAUAGAGAUAUUAACAUACCACACAAUUAUCUACCAUCCAGAAGAGUCCAGAAACCACGGGAGCGAACGGGAGACGUAACGGAGCCGGGCACUGGGCGCCCGCCCUCCCCCCUGGACCAAACAGAGUCCAAUUCGGGGACAAUGCUCCACCGACCUAAUACUUCAAGGAAAACCACACGAUCAAUGUCGGUUUGAUUCGACGGCCCAGAUUCACUUGAAGGACUAUAAAACCAGACCCCCCUGGCCCCUGGAGAUCAUACCUCUACUACAGAAUCAAAGCUAGGGUUUCAAUUCUUCAUCCAA
rnacentral:lncRNA from 1 species